rnacentral:rRNA from 1 species
UGGGGAAUCUUGCACAAUGGGGGCAACCCUGAUGCAGCGACGCCGCGUGAGCGAUGAAGGUUUUCGAAUCGUAAAGCUCUGUCCUAUGGGAAGCUAAUGACGGUACCAUAGGAGGAAGCCCCGGCUAACUACGUGCCAGCAGCCGCGGUAAUACGUAGGGGGCGUGCGUUGUCCGGAAUUACUGGGCGUAAAGGGUUCGCUGGCGGAAUGGCAAGUCCGGUGUAAAAGGCGAAGGCUCAACCUUCGGAAGCAUCGGAAACUGUCAAGCUUGAGUGAAGGGGAGGCAAGUGGAAUGCCUAAUGUAGCGGUGGAAUGCGUAGAUAUUAGGAGGAAUACCGGUGGCGAAGGCGACUUGCUGGACAUCAACUGACGCUGAGGAACGAAAGCGUGGGUAGCAAACAGG